UAAGCUUUCGGGCCCAUACCCCAAAUAUGUUGGUGAGAACCCUUCUUUUACUA
rnacentral:tRNA from 1 species